UAGAGGGAAGGCCGCUGAAUGCUUUGAAAUAGAUUGCAGACCAUUGGCCAUUGAUGAAGAAGAAGUAGUAGAAUUAUUAGUCGACGAAGAACCUGAAGUAAAGGCAAAGUUUUUAGAAGCCGAAGGAUUAUUGGCGAUCAAGCCAGGAUUACCUCCAAGAUUCGACGACGAAGAGAUGCUUCGGCGAGAAGUAGAAGGUCCGGG